GAUGGCGGCCGGGCAGGGGGGCGGCGGCGGCAACAACGGCAGCGGCAGCGGGAGCGGGACGGCGGCCGGGAGCGGAGCGGCGGGGCUCGGCAUCCCCGCGCACCUGACUCUCUCCUUCUCGUCCGGGCCGCACUCGGGCGCGGCAGCUCUGCCGCAGUCGCACACGGUGCGCAGCCUGGAGCGGGCCCUGGAGGAGGCGGGCAGCUCGGGCAUCCUGUGCCUGAGCGGGAGGAAGCUGCGCGACUUCCCCGGCAGCGGCUGCGACCUGAGCGACACCACGCAAGCAGGGCACCUCAGGCGUGGCUACCGAGAAGCUCCUCCUUUGGUGAGUGGAAAGGAACCGUUGGAGUGGAAAGGAACCUUUGGUGUGUUGCAGCCGAGUGCCAGCCUGAUGGGCUGACUGAAAGUUCCUGUCAGUGUCUUUGCAGCAGCAGAAGCUAAGGGAUCCCUGGCUGUUUUCUCCUUUUUUGUUGAAGAGCUUUUGAACGGCUGCAGGAAUGAUUUUGCAGCCAGAAGAUUGCAUGCUGCUUUUAGCCAUGGUGGAGUAUCUAAUUCACAAGCAUAAGUGGCAAUGUCUACUUUAGCCCACUGUUGGUUUGAACACCCCAGAAUGCUAUUUCUCCGUAGUGCAGCUGAGGAUAAAUAAGGCCAUAAAUGUGAUACAACUGCCUGUCCCUCACACUACUGUCUGUCCACAAAGCACAGAAGCUGCAUCAGGGGCUCCUCUAGCUCUGUCUCCAAAGAGGAGGCUAAAGAGCAGCAAGACAAGAAGGCUGGGGAGAAGGAACAAAGUGAAUUUCCCUCUGUUCUUGGAGACAAUGGUGAACUUUCCACGGUUCUUGAAGAUAGUGGUGAAUUUCCCACCAUUCUGGAAGAUGACAGCAAAGCUCCAGCAGUGUGAAUCGAGGACAGGGAAUGUCUUGUGGUGUGGGAUGAGGAGUGGGAACAGCCUCAUCACAGGAAGAAGGAGAACAAAGAUCUCACAGUGUGGGAAGAGGAGGGCAGACAGACAGUGGCCUGGGAAGAGCACAGCAGACAUCACGCCAUGGGGGAAGGAGAGGGACAGCAUCUCCCUGUGUGGGAAGAGCACCAUGAACAUCCCACUGCUUGGGAAGAGGAUGAUGAGGCACCACCUUUUUGGGAAGAGGACAGUGAACCUCCCUCUGUUGAGGCAUCAUGGGCUGAGCAUUCUGACAGCAGCACAGCUUCACAGCCAGAGGGGAGACAGAGAGGUGCCUCAUGCAGCUGAGCACGUCUGCUCUCUGUCCUGUCUGCCAGAGCAGGGGAACUGUGAGCCUGGGGGAGCCUGCCAAGAAACACAAUGAAGCUGAGCCAGUUGGCCAAGGCUACCUGUUGAUGAAGAUCUCUGGUUGGUGAUGGAGUCCAUGGAUGGAGG